AAAACAGGUCCCAGGUGCAUCGGGGGAGUUGGGUUAUGGGAACCUGGAUUCAUGCCUGCGUUUCCCCCACCAGAGACUUCUCACAGACGGGGUCUCCCUGUUGCUGGGGCUGAAGUGCAGCGGUGCCGUUGGGGCUCCCUGUAGCCUGAAGCGACCCUCCCACAUCAUUCUCACUGGCUGAAUCGUGUAAUAUUAUUUUGUUUGGA